rnacentral:rRNA from 1 species
AUCAAUAAGCGGAGGAAAAGAAACCAACAGGGAUUCCCCUAGUAACGGCGAGUGAAGCGGGAACAGCUCAAAUUUGAAAUCUGGCCCUUGGGUCCGAGUUGUAAUUUGCAGAGGAUGCUUUUGGUGCGGUGCCUUCCGAGUUCCCUGGAACGGGACGCCUUAGAGGGUGAGAGCCCCGUACGGUUGGACACCAAGCCUAUGUAAAGCUCCUUCGACGAGUCGAGUAGUUUGGGAAUGCUGCUCAAAAUGGGAGGUAUAUUUCUUCUAAAGCUAAAUAUUGGCCAGAGACCGAUAGCGCACAAGUAGAGUGAUCGAAAGAUGAAAAGCACUUUGAAAAGAGGGUUAAAUAGCACGUGAAAUUGUUGAAAGGGAAGGAUUUAUGACCAGACUUUUUCUAGGGGGAUCAUCCGGUGUUCUCACCGGUGCACUUCCCCUAGUUGAGGCCAGCAUCGGUUUCUGUCGAGGGAUAAAAGCUUUAGGAAUGUGGCUCCCUCCGGGGAGUGUUAUAGCCUGUUGCAUAAUACCUUGACGGGGACCGAGGUUCGCGCAUUGCAAGGAUGCUGGCGUAAUGGUUAUUAAUCACCCGUCUUGAAACACGGACCAAGGAGUCGAACAUUUGUGCGAGUGUUUGGGUGUUAAACCCUCACGCGUAAUGAAAGUGAACGGAGGUGAGAGCCUUUCGGGGUGCAUCAUCGACCGAUCCUGAUGUCUUCGGAUGGAUUUGAGUAAGAGCAUUAAUGUUCGGACCCGAAAGAUGGUGAACUAUGCGUGGAUAGGGUGAAGCCAGAGGAAACUCUGGUGGAGGCUCGCAGCGGUUCUGACGUGCAAAUCGAUCGUCAAAUCUGCGCAUGGGGGCGAAAGACUAAUCGAACCAUC